rnacentral:lncRNA from 1 species
AGUCAAACUGAAUCCAAUUUAAUUAGUCUUGAUCUAAACCUCUUUGCUCAAUCAAAUUAAGUCAAUUAGCAAUCUAAUUAUUAAUAAAUCCUUCAUUAGCAGUAGAGUCCCAGUCUAGUGGGACUCUUUACCAGAGUCACAAUCCAAUGGGACUCUUCAGCCAUCCGAUCAGAUCGAACUUCUAAUGUAUAUGAUCCCAUAAGUUCGAAUCUAAGCUGGUAGC